CCCUUAGAUGUUCUGGGCCGCACGCGUGCUACACUGACGCAUUCAUCAAGCUUACAACCUUGGCCGAAAGGUCUGGGUAAUCUUUUUAAAGUGCGUCGUGAUGGGGAUAGACGAUUGCAAUUAUUCGUCUUCAACGAGGAAUGCCUAGUAAACGCAAGUCAUCAGCUUGCAUUGAUUACGUCCCUGCCCUUUGUACACACCGCCCGUCGCUACUACCGAUUGAAUGGUUUAGUGAGUAGCACGGACUGGAGACGCGGGUGGUAACACCUGCGUCCUCGGGAAGUGCCGCAAACUUGACUAUUUAGAGGAAGUAAAAGUCGUANCA
rnacentral:rRNA from 1 species